rnacentral:lncRNA from 1 species
CACGGCUGUUCACUGGUAAUGAUCGAAACAUGUACUGUCAGGAAUAGGGGGUUCAUGAGAUGUGGUUGCUGGUAGAUAGCAACUAUCAUAUAAACAUAAACCUGUGUGGUCUGGAGGUGGACACAUUGAGCACUGAAAGUUUUAUAUGUAAAACUUUAUAUUUAGCAAUGUAUUUUAAAAUAUAACACAUCAUUCUGUGUCAAUUACUACAAAAAUAGCCUUUUGAAAUCAGAUGACUUUUCUCAUACAUGCCAUACACUCCACCCUUACUCUUGGUACCCCAUUUGUAAAAAUCCUGGAAAAACCCUUGUACAUGUGCUAGCUUUUUGGCAUACAUAUUAAGUGUCCACGAGGACAUAAAAACUAUUUAAAAGUUUUCUAAUUCUUCAAACUUCCCUAAAGUUUUUUUUUUUCUACCAGCAUGUUUACCGUUUUCAUGUCACUUUUUUCAUAAUGCCCCGGGUUUCAUUAACUGGGAAAGGAAAAUAAAAAGGAAAAAGACGUAAAAAAAAGAAAAAAAAAAAAGCAGUUUUCUUAUUUUGCUCACCGUGACCGAAAGAGAAACAGCUAACCACACUCCCGGCAUCCAGUCGUUUCGCUACCGUGGGAUUUAAAGUAUUUUUCAUCGCUUUCGUCGGUACCCACCCUUGACCCUGACACCUGAAAGCGGUGGGAUGCACCCCGACACAUCCCACUGGUUUUUUGGAGACGACGGCCACGUGACCGAGGUAGCGGCAGCAUCCGCGCGCACACCGCCGCUGUUCGUUUGAUAGCAUCCACAGCGCCGGACGGAGAAGAGAGCGGGACAGAGAGAGAGAGAAAAAGAGAGGGAGAUAGGAAGAAACAGUCGUCGAGGGAAGACGAACAAAAUCUCCGUCUUGCUGACUCCUUCACCAGACACGGCGGGCACACCAUGGACGGCUAUGGCCGGACCGAAGAUGAGCUGUUCUCCUCCUGCCUCGUGAACCUCACCUGGGAGACGUGCUACGAGCAGUCCAGCCGUGAUGCUCGGCCACCGGGGUGCUCCGGAGGGGAGGUGGAGUUGAAAGGAAGCACGUUUGGCUGCUUUACCGGGCGAUGGCAAUUUAAAAGCACUUCAGUGCACAGACUCACACACUCCAGAUGAGGUUCGCCUGCAGUGAAGACCUCUUUAACCAAGGGAGGAAGAAAACAGUUUGAAGAUUUCAAGUAGCUUCUUUUAUCACCUCAUCUCAGUGCUAGACUUUUGUCUUUUGCUUCUUAAUUAUUGAUGUUGAUGCGAUUCAUUUCUUGCCAAGUUCUCCAUUAAAGACCGGCUCUUAAUUGUGGAGGCAAAAAACAAAGAUAAAAGAAGGGCAAUUAACUCCCAGCAUUCCUGAUGCACUCGUGACGUGCUGUGAUGGAAUUUUCUUCUCUCAUAAAUUUAUUUGAACCUUAUGGGUAACUAAUAGAUUGAGAUGUUAUAUAUAAUGCAUGUAACUUACAAAGCGACGCAAAACAGGCUGUAGGUCAGGCAGUAAAGCAGGGCAUCUAUUGACUGGAAGGUUG